GCCUAUGGCCAGACUAGCCUGAACGCACCGAAUCUCCUCUGAUCUUGGAAGCCAAGCAGGGUCGGGCCUGGUUAGUACUUGGAUGGGAAGAAGGUGAGGAACCCCCAGAAGUGGCUGAAAGGU
rfam:Otolemur garnettii contig074478, whole genome shotgun sequence.